UAGGGAAUCUUCCACAAUGGACGAAAGCCUGGUGGAGCAACGCCGCGUGUGUGAUGAAAGGUUUCGGCUCGUAAAACGCUGUUGUAAGAGAAGAAUGACAUUGAGAGUAACUGUUCAAUGUGUGACGGUAUCUUUACCAGGAAGGAACGGCUAAAUACGUGCCAG
rnacentral:rRNA from 1 species